CAGGGCUUGACAUCCCGGCGACCGGCUUAGAGAUAAGCUUUUCCCUUCGGGGACGCCGGUGACAGGUGGUGCAUGGUUGUCGUCAGCUCGUGUCGUGAGAUGUUGGGUUAAGUCCCGCAACGAGCGCAACCCUUAUUGUUAGUUGCUACGCAAGAGCACUCUAGCGAGACUGCCGUUGACAAAACGGAGGAAGGUGGGGACGACGUCAAAUCAUCAUGCCCCUUAUGUCCUGGGCCACACACGUACUACAAUGGUGGUUAACAGAGGGAAGCAAUACCGCGAGGUGGAGCAAAUCCCUAAAAGCCAUCCCAGUUCGGAUCGCAGGCUGCAACCCGCCUGCGUGAAGUUGGAAUCGCUAGUAAUCGCGGAUCAGCAUGCCGCGGUGAAUACGUUCCC
rnacentral:rRNA from 1 species